rnacentral:tRNA from 1 species
GGAGGGGUGUCUGAGUGGUUGAAAGAGCACGCUUGGAAAGCGUGUGGCUGUCGCAAGAUGGCUCGAGAGUUCGAAUCUCUCCUCCUCCGCCA